rnacentral:tRNA from 1 species
AGGUAAUUAUUUUAAUCAAAAUAUUUGAUUUCGGCUCAAAAGAUCGUGGUUAAAGUCCAUAAUUACCCA